GUGAGGAAUAUUGGUCAAUGGGCGAGAGCCUGAACCAGCCAAGUCGCGUGAAGGAUGAAGGUUUUAUGAAUUGUAAACUUCUUUUGCAGGGGAAUAAAGUACGGUACGUGUACCGUUUUGUAUGUACUCUGCGAAUAAGGAUCGGCUAACUCCGUGCCAGCAGCCGCGGUAAUACGGAGGAUCCAAGCGUUAUCCGGAUUUAUUGGGUUUAAAGGGUGCGCAGGCGGGUUGAUAAGUCAGCGGUGAAAGUUUGCAGCUUAACUGUAAAAUUGCCGUUGAAACGGUCGAUCUUGAGUGCAAAUGAGGUAAGCGGAAUGUGUUGUGUAGCGGUGAAAUGCUUAGAUAUAACACAGAACACCGAUUGCGAAGGCAGCUUACUGGGAUGCAACUGACGCUCAUGCACGAAAGCGUGGGGAUCAAACAGGAUUAGAAACCCGGGUAGUCC
rnacentral:rRNA from 1 species